UGGGGAAUAUUGCACAAUGGAGGGAACUCUGAUGCAGCGACGCCGCGUGAACGAAGAAGGCUUUCGAGUCGUAAAGUUCUUUUAUAUGGGAAGAUAAUGACGGUACCAUAAGAAAAAGCACCGGCUAACUACGUGCCAGCAGCCGCGGUAAUACGUAGGGGGCUAGCGUUGUCCGGAAUCACUGGGCGUAAAGGGUUCGCAGGCGGAAAUGCAAGUCAGGUGUAAAAGGCAGUAGCUUAACUACUGUAAGCAUUUGAAACUGCAUAUCUUGAAAAGAGUAGAGGUAAGUGUAAUUUUUAGUGUAGCGGUUAAAUGCGUAGAUAUUAAAAAGAAUACCGGUGGCGAAGGCGACUUACUGGGCUCAUUCUGACGCUGAGGAACGAAAGCGUGGGUAGCAAACAGG
rnacentral:rRNA from 1 species